UACGAAGGGUGCUAGCGUUGUUCGGAAUUACUGGGCGUAAAGGGCGCGUAGGCGGUACUUCAAGUCAGGCGUGAAAGCCCCGGGCUCAACCUGGGAACCGCGCUUGAGACUGGAGAACUAGAGUUCGGGAGAGGAUGGUGGAAUUCCCAGUGUAGAGGUGUAAUUCGUAGAUAUUGGGAAGAACACCGAUGGCGAAGGCAGCCAUCUGGACCGACACUGACGCUGAGGCGCGAAAGCGUGGGGAGCAAACAGG
rnacentral:rRNA from 1 species